rnacentral:rRNA from 1 species
AUUGAACGCUGGCGGCAGGCCUAACACAUGCAAGUCGAGCGGAUGAAGGGAGCUUGCUCCUGGAUUCAGCGGCGGACGGGUGAGUAAUGCCUAGGAAUCUGCCUGGUAGUGGGGGAUAACGUCCGGAAACGGGCGCUAAUACCGCACACGUCCUGAGGGAGAAAGUGGGGGAUCUUCGGACCUCACGCUAUCAGAUGAGCCUAGGUCGGAUUAGCUAGUUGGUGGGGUAAAGGCCUACCAAGGCGACGAUCCGUAACUGGUCUGAGAGGAUGAUCAGUCACACUGGAACUGAGACACGGUCCAGACUCCUACGGGAGGCAGCAGUGGGGAAUAUUCGACAAUGGGCGAAAGCCUGACCCAGCCAUGCCGCGUGUGUGAAGAAGGUCUUCGGAUUGUAAAGCACUUUAAGUUGGGAGGAAGGGCAGUAAGUUAAUACCUUGCUGUUUUGACGUUACCAACAGAAUAAGCACCGGCUAACUUCGUG